CGGACGGGUGAGUAAUGCUUGGGAAUCUGGCUUAUGGAGGGGGAUAACUACGGGAAACUGUAGCUAAUACCGCGUAAUAUCUUCGGAUUAAAGGGUGGGACUUUCGGGCCACCUGCCAUAAGAUGAGCCCAAGUGGGAUUAGGUAGUUGGUGGGGUAAAGGCCUACCAAGCCGACGAUCUCUAGCUGGUCUGAGAGGAUGACCAGCCACACUGGAACUGAGACACGGUCCAGACUCCUACGGGAGGCAGCAGUGGGGAAUAUUGCACAAUGGGGGGGACCCUGAUGCAGCCAUGCCGCGUGAAUGAAGAAGGCCUUCGGGUUGUAAAGUUCUUUCGGUGAUGAGGAAGGUGUUUGUUUUAAUAGAACAAGCAAUUGACGUUAGUCACAGAAGAAGCACCGGCUAACUCCGUGCCAGCAGCCGCGGUAAUACGGAGGGUGCGAGCGUUAAUCGGAAUGACUGGGCGUAAAGGGCACGCAGGCGGUGACUUAAGUGAGAUGUGAAAGCCCCGAGCUUAACUUGGGAAUUGCAUUUCAUACUGGGUCGCUAGAGUAUUUUAGGGAGGGGUAGAAUUCCACGUGUAGCGGUGAAAUGCGUAGAGAUGUGGAGGAAUACCGAAGGCGAAGGCAGCCCCUUGGGAAUAUACUGACGCUCAUGUACGAAAGCGUGGGGAGCAAACAGGAUUAGAUACCCUGGUAGUCCACGCUGUAAACGCUGUCGAUUUGGGGAUUGG
rnacentral:rRNA from 1 species